AGAUCUGAUUGGAAAGAUGUGGAAAAAGAUUAUAGAGACGUUGAAUUUAGAAUCCAACAGAUUGAAAUUACUCAAAGGAAUCAGCAUGAAAUCAGCUCAGCUGAGAAGCAAAGCAAAGAAGAAGAGAUGAAAGAAAAGCUGCAAAGAUCUGCUGCUGAGCAGGAAGAAGAUGUGACUCCUCUCCAGCUAAGGUGCUGCUCCUGCAUCCAUAUGUUUGAAAA